CAAUAGCGUAUAUUAAAGUUGUUGCGGUAAAAAAGUUCGUAGUUGGAUUUCUGUUGAGAGCGACCGGUCCAUACCAUGUAUGCGUAUCUGGCUUGCUCUCGGCAUCCUCUCGAUAGACGUUACUGCGCUUGAUUGCGUGGUGCGGAUCUCGGGACUUUUACUUUGAGGAAAUUAGAGUGUUCACGGCAGGCUUUCGCCAGAAUACAUUAGCAUGGAAUAAUACUAUAGGAUCUUGGUUCUAUUUUGUUGGUUUCUAGAAUUGAGAUAAUGAUUAAUAGGGACAAUUGGGGGCAUUCGUAUCAACACGUCAGAGGUGGAAUUCUUGGAUUGUGUUGCGACGAACUACUGCGAAAGCAUUUGCCAAGGAUGUUUUCAUUGA
rnacentral:rRNA from 1 species